GAUGUAUCGCGUCUUGUCUAGACGCGAUACAUCGAUCCCUGAACGCACUCCCCGUCGACUCCGGAACUCCACCAAGGCGAGAGGCGGAAGUGGAGUUGACGGGGGAGCGACGGCCAUCGAUCCUGCGCCGUGAGGACGCAAAGUAAGUCGAUCUAAGAUACGUCGACUUCAGCUACUCUAUUCUCGUAGCUGAAGUUGCGUAUCUUAGAUCGAUCCCCCCCAGUGUAGACCAGGCCUAAGGUGCCACAAGUACUCCUCGUUCUUUUCACAAAGCCAUCCCUUCACCAGAGGGAGAUGGUGGGCCAACAAGAGAUGCAGCCACACUUAUCAACUAAGCCAUCACCACCAGAGAAGCUCCCCCAAAGUUAUAGCCCCUUGGUUGCUGAAUUUUUGUUUAUGCUGAAAUCUUGUACACUGAACUCCUGACAUCACCAAAGCAAGAGUCUGUCCACGUGGCAAAAGAUAUGAAUUGCAGUAAUGAAGCCAGAAGGUUGCAAGUGUAUGCAUUGCUAUUGCUGGAAGCAUACGUGAUAGGAGGGGACACAGUCUUUUGGCCAGUAGUGGAUGAUCUUGAAAUAUCAUACAAGCUGUAUACUGAGAUACAUCAGAGAUGGAUUUACAACCUUAAAUUUACUGCCAUAAGAAUUAAUCUUGGCCACUUAAUAUUUUAACCUAUUUGUGUAUAAAUGUAAAUGGUUGUACUCAUUGCUAUAGUACCCCAAUUGUCAUGGCUUCUGGUUGCAAGCAUUCUUACCUAGCACCCCCUGCAAGCUAUCUGCCAUCCAGCUUGGAAAUUACCUAAUUCCAACCUCUUCCAGGGUAACAAAAUAUCAAAGUGUAGUCCAAAGUCCCAAAGAAUCAGCCUAGCUUCUGGGCCCUGUUCUCAAGCCCUUCCUGGGAUUUCAUUGGAGUCCUUUUCUCCACUUUGGUAUUGAGUACUGUCCCUAUUCAGCCUAAGUCUUUGGGAGGCUUCUAGCUUCUAACAGUCUUAAGCCAGAGAGCAGAUUUGUGUGAAAGGCCUACUUUCCCCAGACUGAACUCUUAGCCCAUUUAUGAGGCCUUAGUGCAGGGGUAGGCAACCUAUGGCACACGUUCCAAAGGCGGCACGCGAGCUGAUUUUCAGUGGCACUCACAGUGCCCGGGUCCUGGCCAGUCCGGGGGGCUCUGCAUUUUAAUUUAAUUUUAAAUGAAGCUUCUUAAACAUUUUAAAAACUUUAUUUACUUUACAUACAACAGUUUAGUUAUAUAUGAUAGACUUAUAGAAAGAGACCUUCUAAAAACAUUAACAUGUAUUACUGGCACGUGAAACCUUAAAUUAGAGUGAAUAAAUGAAGACUCGGCACAACACUUCUGAAAGGUUGCUGACCCCUGCCUUAGUGUCUGGGUGAUUACCAGAUCCUUCUUAGUCCCACCCUCUCUGGCUGAAAAGUAACUCAUUACUACACAGGUGAACUGAAGGUGUCUGACUUUCCCUUUAAUCAUUUCUAGCCUAUGAUGAAGUGUCACCCCAUCACAAUAAAUGUCAUUCACCUCCUGACAAGUAUGGGGGUACUCUUUGAUUUUAAUACUGUAUCUGUAUUUGUCAUUAGCAUGGUGUGUUUGUCCCGUAAUUGGGAGUGGAUAUUUCAGCCUAGAAGUUUGUCUGGAUAGCAGAGCCUACCUGCCUAGAGAAACAAAGAGGAAAAGCCCUUUCUAAUAGUCAUCUAACAAAUUACACAUAAGGGUUGUUAAGUGACAGUUGCAAAGAGAAUAGCCUUAAUGGCUCUAGCCUGCUCUUAUGGGGAGCACCCAACCCAGUUUGAACAGGAUGAGUCAGAUAGGGUGACCAGAUGUCCCGAUUUUAUAGGGACAGUCCCAGUUUUGGGGUCUUUUUCUUAUAUAGGCUCCUAUUACCCCCCACCCCCGUCCGGAUUUUUCACAUUUGCUGUCUGGUCACCUUAUCAGACAGAGACCUACAGACCAACAAGAUUUGAGUUGGCUAUGAAACUGUAAAUUGGUUCAGUUCCAUUCCUGUGACGUAAGAGGAAAGCCUACCUAACAGCUUGUAGUGAGGCAUAAAAUUAGAUUAAAAGUGUAUAGGCUACUUGUUGUUUUUUUAAAUCUGUUCUCGGAUGCUUUGUUCUAACUGCUAAAUAAAAAUACUGUGUUUUAUAAAGGUUGCUGGUCAAUAUCACUGGUCACAGGUUUCUAAAGAGAGAGCCUGCAGGUCAAGUGAUUGGUAUACAGAGAGUAACGUACCUGGGUCCUGCUCUAAGAAUCACAAGUUGUCAGACACAGGUAACAACAAGAGGCCAAACACCUGAAUUGGGUGCACUCAGGGACCAGAAAGGCAUAGAGGUGCAGGUAGCCCCAUAACUACUGAAAUGUAAGAAUAAUGAUUUAUUUUCCUAAUAUUUACAAUAAAACAAGUAGUUCACUGUUACUAGACGAAUAUCUUAUUUAUGUCUGCAAUAAAAACCAGAUGAAAAAACA